CUUGGUCAUUUAGAGGAAGUAAAAGUCGUAACAAGGUCUCCGUAGGUGAACCUGCGGAGGGAUCAUUACUGAGUGAGGGCCUCCGGGUCCGACCUCCAACCCUUUGUGAACACAUCCCGUUGCUUCGGGGGCGACCCUGCCGGGCGCCCCCGGAGGACCACUCAAACACUGCAUCUCUGCGUCGGAGUUUACGAGUAAAUCGAAACAAAACUUUCAACAACGGAUCUCUUGGUUCUGGCAUCGAUGAAGAACGCAGCGAAAUGCGAUAAGUAAUGUGAAUUGCAGAAUUCAGUGAAUCAUCGAAUCUUUGAACGCACAUUGCGCCCCCUGGUAUUCCGGGGGGCAUGCCCGUUCGAGCGUCAUUACACCACUCCAGCCUCGCUGGGUAUUGGGCGUCUCGCGGGGGAGCAAUCCCCCGCGCGCCUCAAAGUCUCCGGCUGAGCGGUCUCGUCUCCCAGCGUUGUGGCAUCACGUCUCGCCGCGGAGUUUCGAGCCCUCGCGGCCGUUAAAUCACACCUCAGGUUGACCUCGGAUCGGGUAGGGAUACUCGCUGAACUUAAGCAUAUCAAUAAGCGGAGGA
rnacentral:rRNA from 1 species